AUGUUCUCUAUAUCUGUGCUGCUGCUGCUGCUGCUGGCUGCUGGAUCCUGUGUGAAUUGUGAACAGCUGACACAACCAGCCUCUUUGACUGUGCAGCCAGGUCAGACUCUGAGCAUCAGCUGUCAGGUCUCUUAUUCUGUCACCAGCUACGGCACACACUGGAUCCGACAACCAGCAGGAAAAGCACUUGAAUGGAUGGGUGUUAUUUGGGGUGGUGGAAGUAACAACUAUGCCAGCAAUGUCCAAGGACGUAUAGAAAUCACCAGAGACACCAGUAAAAACAUUGUGUAUCUGAGUCUGUCUACCAUGAAACCAGAAGAAUCUGCUGUGUAUUACUGUGCAAAGAACACACUGUGA